CUCAAGGCAACACCACGAUAGGCCGAUAGCCCAUACGGCAAACCCUGACUACAUCUCUCUUCCUCCCUCCAUCCUCCAGGGUCUAGGCCUCCACCACGCCAGCCGCCUCCUCGGACGGCGGCGCCGCCUCGCCGACGGAAGUGGGCCUCCUCCUCCCGCACGGGGCGCUCCUCCUCGCGCUCUCCCUCGCGGGCCUGGCCGGUUCCCUCGACGGCACAUCCUGUCUCACCGAACACGGCGCCGGCCACCUGCUCCGUCGUCUCCUGCAGGGGGUACUCCACCUAGCUGCAACACUCCUGCGUGUGGCGGAUAGGGUUCGCCUCCGCCCUCGACCUCGCCGCGUCCCCUCGUCCAGCCCCUCCCCUACAAUCGCUCGCCUCCCCUCCCCCAUCAACGAGGAGGAGCAUCCGGUGCCCCUGCCCUCGAGUUCGUCGAUAGCGCCGUCAUCCAGUCCAAGCUUGCUGCUACUGCUCCUCCUCUCCUCUGUCCACGACUUCCCCAAGGAGUAAGUGGUUUACCAUGGUGGUCCGGAAGUGUUGCAGCUUGGUUUGUGAGAUACAGACCUUAUCAAGUAGUAAAGUCAUCUCACAUAUGCCGACGACGAAGAUGCUGAUGAUUCUGCCAAUAUUGCUUGUUUGUUCUAUUGCCGUUGUUUGUUUGAUGUUCUACUUUGUUCUGUUUCAGUGUGGCAGAGAAAGUAGCCUAACCAGUAGUAGCCUAUUCAGAAACGACAUGUCACUGUAAAACUGUAGUUGAAUGUUUCUGUUAAAUUAUUGUUUGGCAUGUUACUGUUAAACUGAAGUUGAAUAUGGUUAUGUAUUGGGUUUAUACCCAUGGCUA